AUGAAAAUGGAUCAGAAGACGAUCAUCGUGUGCUCGGUCGUCGGCUCCCUCGGGGUGCUGAGUGCCAUCCUGGGGUUCUCAGCCGAGGGCACCAAGCUCACCGUUUCGGACUUGUACGUGGAUGGAGGGGUGUGCCUGUACCCGCAGAACCCCGCGCUCGGGCUCGGGGUCUGCGCCGCCAUCUUCCUCAUCGUGGCCCAGAUCGCCUUCGCGGUCGUCGGCGGCUGCUGCGGCUGCUGCAGGUCCCGCGCCAUCCCCUCCGAGAGCAACCGGAUCAUCGGCGUCGUCUGCGCCGUCUUCUCAUGGAUCAUGGCGAUAAUCGCGUUCUCGCUGCUGGUGACGGGCGCGGCGUGGAACACCACCGGGACGCGGGACCCGUCGCCGUUCGGGCUGUGCUACGUCCUCAAGGACGGCAUCUUCGCCGGCGGCGCCGUGCUCACGCUCGUCGCCACGGCCCUCGGGCUCACCUCCUACGUCAUGCUCCGCGGGCAGCCGGCCACCGCCGCGCCCAAGGAAGGCGAGCAGAUGCCGGCGGGCGCCGCCGGGAUCAGCAUGGGGCAGCCGCAGUUCCAGCAGCAGCCUCCGCAGGGGCAGGGGUACGGCCAAGCGCCGAACCCUCAUUACGCCCCUCCUCCGGCACAAGGACAAGGCUAUGGAGCGCACACAGCCAACCAGCAGCAGCAGCAGCAGCUACCCCCGCCUCCUGGACGAGGCUACGGGCAGUACCCUCCUCCUAAAGGACACGAACAGGUGUGA
rnacentral:rRNA from 1 species